rnacentral:rRNA from 1 species
UGNNNUCGNACGGNAAGGCCCUUCGGGGUANUCGAGUGGCGAACGGGUGAGUAACACGUGGGUGAUCUGCCCUGCACUUUGGGAUAAGCCUGGGAAACUGGGUCUAAUACCGAAUAGGACCACGCGCUUCAUGGUGUGUGGUGGAAAGCUUUUGCGGUGUGGGAUGGGCCCGCGGCCUAUCAGCUUGUUGGUGGGGUAAUGGCCUACCAAGGCGACNACGGGUAGCCGGCCUGAGAGGGUGACCGGCCACACUGGGACUGAGAUACGGCCCAGACUCCUACGGGAGGCAGCAGUGGGGAAUAUUGCACAAUGGGCGCAAGCCUGAUGCAGCGACGCCGCGUGAGGGAUGACGGCCUUCGGGUUGUAAACCUCUUUCAAUAGGGACGAAGCGCAAGUGACGGUACCUAUAGAAGAAGCACCGGCCAACUACGUGCCAGCAGCCGCGGUAAUACGUAGGGUGCGAGCGUUGUCCGGAAUUACUGGGCGUAAAGAGCUCGUAGGUGGUUUGUCGCGUUGUUCGUGAAAACUCACAGCUUAACUGUGGGCGUGCGGGCGAUACGGGCAGACUANNGUACUGCAGGGGAGACUGGAAUUCCUGGUGUANCGGUGGAAUGCGCANAUAUCNNNAGGAACACCGGUGGCGAAGGCGGGUCUCUGGGCAGUAACUGACGCUGAGGAGCGAAAGCGUGGGGAGCGAACAGGAUUAGAUACCCUGGUAGUCCACGCCGUAAACGGUGGGUACUAGGUGUGGGUUCCUUCCUUGGGAUCCGUGCCGUAGCUAACGCAUUAAGUACCCCGCCUGGGGAGUACGGCCGCANNGCUAAAACUCAAAGGAAUUGACGGGGGCCCGCACAAGCGGCNNNNCAUGUGNNUUAAUUCNAUGCNACGCGAANAACCUUANCUGGGUUUGACAUGCACAGGACGCCNGCAGANAUGUCGGUUCCCUUGUGNCCUGUGUGC